rnacentral:rRNA from 1 species
UUUAACGCUGGCGGCAGGCCUAACCCAUGCAAGUCGAGCGGAUGAAGGGAGCUUGCUCCUGGAUUCAGCGGCGGACGGGUGAGUAAUGCCUAGGAAUCUGCCUGGUAGUGGGGGAUAACGUCCGGAAACGGGCGCUAAUACCGCAUACGUCCUGAGGGAGAAAGUGGGGGAUCUUCGGACCUCACGCUAUCAGAUGAGCCUAGGUCGGAUUAGCUAGUUGGUGGGGUAAAGGCCUACCAAGGCGACGAUCCGUAACUGGUCUGAGAGGAUGAUCAGUCACACUGGAACUGAGACACGGUCCAGACUCCUACGGGAGGCAGCAGUGGGGAAUAUUGGACAAUGGGCGAAAGCCUGAUCCAGCCAUGCCGCGUGUGUGAAGAAGGUCUUCGGAUUGUAAAGCACUUUAAGUUGGGAGGAAGGGCAGUAAGUUAAUACCUUGCUGUUUUGACGUUACCAACAGAAUAAGCACCGGCUAACUUCGUG